AUGUUGGUAGCCAUCGGUCCUUACCACCACCACUUACCCCACCUCCAGGGGAUGGAGCAGGUGAAGCGCCUGGCUACCGACCACUUCGUCAACCAAGUGGAGCCCACGCGAGAAGAGCUAUACGCAGCAGUCCUCCACGUGGCGGGCACCGCCCCCCAACAUGGCAAUAAUCCGCCACCGCCAAUGGGAGACGUUGAAUUUGCAGAUAUGCUUUUCCAUGAUGCUUGCUUCCUGCUGCAGUAUAUUAGAGUGCGUAUGCUUAACACAGGGCCACCGUCGCUGGCACACCUCUUCUACUCCAAGCGCUCUGUCAUCAAUAAUGACAUCAUGCUACUAGAGAACCAGCUCCCCUGGCUUGUGCUCAGCAGUCUCAUCAAUCUUACGGGCCACGUGCCCGUGACAAGAUUCAUUGUUCGGUUGGCAAGUGUUUUCCAUGCUCGCAGGGGUCUCGGGGUGGAACAAGGCUUUGAGCUCGGUGACUACAGGCCGGGUCAUCUCCUUGCUCUCCUCCGGUUCCACAUGAAAGGAGACAUGACACGGCAAGUGGACAUGCUCGUCAAUACUCCAAACCAGAUCUCUGUAUCUUUUAACGCCAUCGAGCUCGAAGAAAUCGGCAUCAAGCUCAAGGUGAGCGACGGAAACAUGUUCGCGGACAUGCGCAUCAACAAGAGAAGCCUCUUGCCCGGCCGCCGAUGUUACUGGGCAAUGUAUCCGUCACUUGCCUCGUCAACAUGGCGGCUUUGGAGGUAUGCACGGGCAUAUCUUUUGUGGACAACAAUACUGUGGUUUGCUCCUACGUCGGUAUCCUCGCCAUGCUCAUGCACCGGGAGGACGACGUGCACCAGCUGCGAGCUAUGCAUCUCGUACAAGGAGAACUCACCGACCGGGAGACGCUCGACUUGUUCACCAGCCUUGGCAAGCACCUGCCCUCGGGUGAACGCUAUGUGA
rnacentral:rRNA from 1 species